rnacentral:rRNA from 1 species
AACGAACGCUGGCGGCAUGCCUAACACAUGCAAGUCGAACGAGACCUUCGUGUCGAGUGGCGCACGGGUGCGUAACGCGUGGGAACCUGCCCUGAGGUUCGGAAUAACUUCCCGAAAGGGGUGCUAAUACCGGAUAAUGUCUUCGGACCAAAGAUUUAUCGCCUUUGGAUGGGCCCGCGUUGGAUUAGCUAGUUGGUAGGGUAAAAGCCUACCAAGGCGACGAUCCAUAGCUGGUCUGAGAGGAUGAUCAGCCACACUGGGACUGAGACACGGCCCAGACUCCUACGGGAGGCAGCAGUGGGGAAUAUUGGAAAAUGGGCGAAAGCAUGAUCCAGCAAUGCCGCGUGAGUGAUGAAGGCCUUAGGGUUGUAAAGCUCUUUUACCCGGGAUGAUAAUGACAGUACCGAGCGAAUAAGCCCCGGCUAACUCCGUG